rnacentral:miRNA from 1 species
CGUUGUUGUUAAAUCUCACAUGCUCUUUUCUCUCUCCCCUCUUUUGUUCCAAAGAAAAAAAGAGGGGAGAGAGAAAAGAGCAUGUGGGAUGGGCA